rnacentral:rRNA from 1 species
UACGAAGGGGGCAAGCGUUGUUCGGAAUCAUUGGGCGUAAAGGGCGCGUAGGCGGACUUGUAAGUCGAUUGUGAAAUCCCUGGGCUUAACCCGGGAAUUGCAGUCGAAACUGUAAGUCUUGAGUUCUCGAGAGGAUGGUGGAAUUCCUGGAGUAGUAGUGAAAUACGUAGAUAUCAGGAGGAACACCGGAGGCGAAGGCGGCCAUCUGGCGAGACACUGACGCUAAGGCGCGAAAGCCAGGGGAGCAAACGGG